rnacentral:lncRNA from 1 species
GCGCUGGGGGAAGGAAAACGCCGCUUUGACUGUGCCUUGUUCUCACAGCUGGCGGGAAGCAAGCGCCUUUUCGAAAGCCAGAGGCUCGAGUUACCCCUCUUACCACCGUCAUGGCAGUCCCAGUUGUUGAAAUUACCUCCAACAUUCAUGUCAGUGAUUCACCACUCUCCAUGAAGAGCUGAACUGGCACAAGUGGCAACGUUGCAACAAGGACAGUGUCAGAGCAGGCUGUAAAAAAUGUGGCUACCCUGGUCACCUGACUUUUGAAUGCCGCAAUUUUCUCCGAGUAGACCCUAAAAGGGACAUAGUUUUGGAUGUCAGCAGUACAAGUAGUGAAGAUAGCGAUGAAGAGAAUGAAGAACUGAAUAAAUUGCAGGCAUUACAGGAAAAAA